AGAUAAUUGAGUAUAUGGGGAUGUUGACACGACAUUCAAUGUCAUAAAUGCGAGAAAAAUGAAAGGGGAAGCAAUUUUCCCCUUUCAUUGGUUACC
rnacentral:sRNA from 1 species